UAAUUUUGACCAUUAGGCUAUAGAACUGUGACUUUAAAGAUUAGUCAUUAAGAUGGUAAAAAUACUGUGAAAUUAAUAAUGGCAUGGAUUUUAGAGCAUAACAACUGAAGGUUUAUGAAACAUUAGCCAAUAAAGCAUUUUUUUAAACAACGGAACUUUAUAUAAUAUAAAAUAUUAUUUCAACCAUACAGCAUGGGAAUAAAUAAAAUGCAUAAUUUUCAUAACAUUUCAUUAUUCAUAAAAUGCAUAACGUUUCUGGUGUUUGGAUAUGUACUUCAAUAUUAUUGAGCUCCAAGUUUAAGAAUAGUCCUAGACUUCUCUCUUUCUUUAACAGCAUUAGCUCAAUGAUAUAGCCUAUGUCUUCCUUCCGUUAGAAUUUUCCUGCCUUGCUAAAUGUUGGGCUCAUGAUCAAUAAGUUCGCCUCAGUCUGAUUCAGUAAAGUCAAACGCAGACAGUGAAGCCUCGGAGACCCGCGCGCUGUGAGGCGGGAACAGAGGACUCCGCUUGGUCUUAAAGCCUCCCGCAAACUUCCACGAUCACAAAUAACAAUGAUUUUCGUAAAAUAAUGCUUAAUUAUUAAUUGAUGAAUUGUUAUUAUCAUUAUGGUUUUGUGAAAAUAAUAAUAUGGGCUGCGAGAAAAUUAUGAAUACAAAGAGUAGUGCUGCUGAGUGCAGGCAUGUUUCAGCCCAGUAAUACACCGUUCCUCAGAGCCAAAACACAGACCGAAUUCUGUUCAGCUGGAGGGGGUUGGGUUUUGGAUAGUUAUUCAUGGCUUGUGGGGUCGAGAUAAAGGUGUGAAUUGCUCUUUCAUAUGGACAAUGUCUUAUGAGGCAUUCACUUGCUGAACCGGUUUAUAUAGGACUGUUGUUUUGGUUAUAUUCACAGUGCUGGCUCUCUCCGACGAGAUAAAUGCAACAUUCACACAUUACACUAUUCCUUUUUGUUUAAAAACAUUUCAAGCUUUCUGUAGCUAGAUAUAUUUUUAAUGUACCAAUGUGAGACACCACGAUAUGUUAAUUAAAAAAAUUAUACAUUCAUUAUCAUGAAAAAUUAAAGUGAUGAGACUGUGCCUUCCUGUCAUUAAUGCACAUUAAUAAUUUUUGCACAAACACUUGAAUAUAAGCUUCUUAUCACGAGUAAAGUUCAUGCCAACAGCCAACAUAUUUAGCUUGAUCAGAAGGUUGACUGCAAGAGUCGAGCGGGAUGUUAAGAGUUUGUCUGUUUCUUUUACGGAUUAUUUUCGGGUUAAAGCAUGAUUUAAACAGAUUCACACUCAAACGCUUUCGCAAUAAUGCGUUCAAACAAAUGUAAUCUUACAGUGCUACAUUAUCAGCAUGCUAUCUGAUUUUGAAAUCUUGAAGUCAAUCGAUCUGUUUAGAUAAAAUAACUGACAAAGAUGUUAUUUUCAUCACAAGCAAAAUUUUCACAGCAGAAAGCAGCAAUUAAAGAUUAGUUUGGCAUGUGAUAUAGGGAAAAAAGUUUACACAUAGCCUAAGCCACUUUGAAACUCUCAAGUUUUUUUUAUUAUUAGGGGCCAAGCACCGAAGGUGCGAGGCACCUAUUGUUUCCGUUGGCGUUAUUAUUAUUAGGGUCCAAGCACCGAAGGUGCGUAGGCACCUAUUGUUUUCGUUGGCGUUAUUAUUAUUCUUCUUCUUCUUCUUCUUCCGCCGCAAGUCUAUGGCAGCCCAUAGAACCGAUUGCGGGAAAGUUGUAUAAUUUGGCACACUGAUAGAGGACAGUCCCAACAUUAACUAUAGCAAAUUUGAAGUCUCUAUCUCCUACUCUCUAGCGCCACCACUUGUCCAAACUUUUAAUGUUUGUAUGCUAAUAACUUUUGAACCGUAAGCCAGAAAAUGGAAAUUCUUUUUUCCUCUGAAUCCUUGGCUCAUGCCAAGUCGAAUGAACCCCAAAAUUCAAAAAUCGCAAGGUUUAGUUUUUUCGCUAUUUUCAAUUAUUCGAAAAACCUACUUUUUCAAACUCGUCCUAGACGGUUAGUCCGAUUGCCACGAAAAUUGGCUCAGAUCAUCUUCAGACCAUGCUGGCAAAAAGUUAUGGAAUUCAAGUUGAUUCGUCCAACUGUUGUCGAAUGACAUGUAAACAAAUUUGACGAAAAGCACGCAAACAUGCACGUGAGGCUAUAUCCCGGCAACGGUUUGUCAUAUUGAGACCAAACUUGGCGUGUGUUAUAACAAGCAUGAACUGAGACUACCUGCAGUGUUUCGACACAGCGCCACCUAGUGGUCAGGAGAUAUGAAAAAUGCAUAUUUUGGCUUAUAACUACUGAAUGGUUUGGCCAAAAAUCACACAACUGGUCUCUUUAGAUUCAGUGAGUCAUGUCGAGUCAAAUGAUAUCCAAUUUUCCUGUGUCGGCCAUUUUAGGCGUCGGCCAUUUUGAAUUAUGAUUUAAAAUGCUGUAUUUUUUGAACGCAGCAUCGUAUCGUUUCGCAAAUAAUUACAAAAAUAUUCGGCUCCAUGCCCUGAAGGUACUCAACAAGUUUGGUGGCAGCGCCACCUUGUGGCCAAUAGUUAUAAUGAAAUAUCACAUAAAUGCUAAUAACUUUUGAAUAAAUUAGUCUAUUAAAAUUAAAAUGGUCUCGCUAUAUUCUGUGGGUCAUGCCGAGAGCAUUGAUACCAAUUAUGUGAAAAUUGGCCUUACUUCCUGUCCGCCAUUUUGCUUAAUGUUGAAAACCUACUUUUUCGAACUCCUCCUAGACCGUUAGUCCAAUUUUCACCAAAUUUGACGUGAAUCAUCUUCAGACCAUGCUGGCAAAAAGUUAUGGAUUUCGUGUCGAUAUACGAAACAGUUCUCAUUUAGCGCAUCAACGAAUUUGCUGGAAGGGUGCCAAAAUGCAUUUGAGGCUGUAUCUCUGCAACGCUUUGACAUAUUUGCACCAAAUUUUGUAUGUGUCAUCGCCACCUCACACUGACCAUGCCACAUAAAUUUGGUGACAGCGCCACCUAUUGGUCAAGAGUAAUAAACCAUUCAUUAACCAUGAAUAAUUACACUUGUAAAAAUGCUAAUAACUUUUUAUUGCAUUAGCCCAUUCGAAUGGAACUGGGCUCAAAAUAUUCCCUGGUUUAUGCCGAUAACAUAGAUACCAAAUAUACCAUAGUAAGCUGAACUUCCGGUCCGCCAUUUUGAUUUAUGUUGAAAACCUACUUUGUCGAACUCCUCAUCAACCGUAGGUCCGAUUUUCACCAAAUUCGAAUCAAAUGAUCUUCAGACUAUGCUGACUCAAAGUUAUGGCUUUUGAGUCGAUAGACAAAACCGUUUUCGCAUACCACAUCGACGAAUUUGAGGCACAAUGAGAAAAUGACACUUGAGGCUGUAUCCCUGGAAUGCUUUGGCAUAUUGACACCAAACUUUGUGUGUGUCAUUGAAAAGUCACACAGAGUACACCAAAUUGAUUUUAUAACAGUGCCACCUAUUGGUCAAGCUUGAUAAGCCAAGUAAUCAUGCUACUAGAGGUGGUAUUAUGAUUUUUUUUUGCCAUUUCAAUUACAAUAAUUCCAAAAUUGCUGUUAUUGCUCAUUAAUGAAUUUGGUGUGAUGCUUCAUGCGAUGCUUAGCUCCUACAUUUGCCGUUGGAGUGCUUGGCCCCGUAAUUGCUGCUUGCAGCUAUAUUUAGGGGCCAAGCACCGAAGGUGCGUAGGCACCUAUUGUAAUCGUUGGCGUUAUUAUUAUUCUGCUUCUUCUUCUUCUUCUUCUUCUUCUUCUUCCGCCGCAAGUCUAUGGCAGCCCAUAGAACCGAUUGCGGGAAAGUUGUAUAAUUUGGCACACUGAUAGAGGACAGUCCCACCAUUAACUAUAGCAAAUUUGAAGUCUCUAACUCCAACUC